rnacentral:lncRNA from 1 species
AGAAUGCCAAAGAGCAGCAGGAUGGAUCCAGCAUCCUCUCCUGAUAAAAGAGGGCUAGAAGACGGGAGGCUCCGGGAAGUCUACUGGAACGCCAGAAGUGCCAAGCAAUUAACAACCCCAGAAGCAACCCUUAACCAAUGAUUAAAUAAAGUGGAUGAUUACAUACCCAAGCUCCUUCAACUCCCAGGGACAUAAUUCUGAGGGAUGGAAAACAAACUGAAACUGGCUCAAGUGAAUGCUCACUGGAAGGCUUACUGGAAAACUUACUGGAAGGAUGUGAGGACAUGUUCGGGAAUCUAUUUGCAGAAAACAUAUUCAGAGAUGGCUGGAACAAAAAAACUUCAGAGGCGGUGCAUGUUGGAAACAUCUGAAGAGAAAUCUCCAGCACAGAAAGCGCCAGGAGCAAAUCAAAGAAGCUUCUAUUAUGGUUUGCUUCUAAGAAAUUCUACUUGGUCCCACCUCCUUGACUCAGCAUCUGAUACCCUGCAGGUGCUUCCAUUAGCCAAACCCAACUCAGAAGCCAGAAGGCAAAGGAGCUCAACUGAUGCAACCUGCAAAGUCAUCCUCUGGGUGCAGAGCAAGGCAGGGAAGGAUGGAGAAUGAAAAGCAACCAGCACCAGAAUUGGGACUUCCAUAAGCUCUGAAAGUGGAGGUUCUAGGAAAUUUCCCCAUGUUUGCAAGUGGGGAGAUCUCAGUUGAUACCUGAGUUAUAUUUCCCUUGUGAUAUUUCUACAAUAAAAAACUGUGUGUGUGUGUGUGUG